rnacentral:rRNA from 1 species
AACGAACGCUGGCGGCGUGCCUAACACAUGCAAGUCGCGCGAGAAAGUCCGCAAGGAUGAGUAAAGCGGCGAACGGGUGAGUAACACGUAGGUAACCUGCCUUACAGUCUGGGACAACCUGUCGAAAGACGGGCUAAUACUGGAUAAGACCAAGACUCUUUCGGGAGCAGUGGUAAAAGAUGGCCUCUUCAUGACAGCUAUCGCUGAAAGAUGGGCCUGCGCACCAUUAGCUAGUUGGUAGGGUAACGGCCUACCAAGGCUACGAUGGUUAGCUGAUCUUAGAGGAUGAUCAGCCACACUGGAACUGAAACACGGUCCAGACUCCUACGGGAGGCAGCAGUGGGGAAUAUUGCGCAAUGGGGGAAACCCUGACGCAGCAACGCCGCGUGAGUGACGAAGGCCUUCGGGUCGUAAAGCUCUGUCGGAGGGGAAGAAACUACCAAUGGCUAACAUCCAUAGGUAUUGACGGUACCCUCAAAGGAAGCACCGGCUAACUCCGUGCCAGCCGCCGCAGUAACAC